CCUUGACAUACUAAGAACUUUCCAGAGAUGGAUUGGUGCCUUCGGGAACUUAGAUACAGGUGCUGCAUGGCUGUCGUCAGCUCGUGUCGUGAGAUGUUGGGUUAAGUCCCGCAACGAGCGCAACCUUUUCCUUAUUUGCCAGCGGGUCAUGCCGGGAACUUUAAGGAUACUGCCAGUGACAAACUGGAGGAAGGCGGGGACGACGUCAAGUCAUCAUGGCCCUUACGGCCAGGGCUACACACGUGCUACAAUGGUCGGUACAAAGGGUUGCUACCUCGCGAGAGGAUGCUAAUCUCAAAAAGCCGAUCGUAGUCCGGAUCGCAGUCUGCAACUCGACUGCGUGAAGUCGGAAUCGCUAGUAAUCGCGGAUCAGAAUGCCGCGGUGAAUACGUUCCCGGGCCUUGUACACACCGCCCGUCACACCAUGGGAGUUUGUUGCACCAGAAGUAGGUAGUCUAACCGCAAGGAGGACGCUUACCACGGUGUGGCCGAUGACUGGGGUGAAGUCGUAACAAGGUAGGCGUAGAUGA
rnacentral:rRNA from 1 species